CACACAUGUGAAAGCAGUUUUCACCAGAUGGAUUCACAGCAACACAAACAACCCAAAACUGAAGGAAUUUUAUUCAACAUGGUGAGAGCAAUCCUCAUUCUCACCCUAGUAUCAGUCACAGGUCUGGAAGCUAUCAGACCAGACCAACCCACCAUGUCUACAAAUGAGAAACACAGCACCACACUGUCCUGCACAUAUGAUGGAUCACCUUAUAGUCUCCUCUGGUAUCGACAAAAACCUGGAUCAAGACCAGAGUUUCUACUGCGUAUUAACGAAGAUGACGGAUAUACUGUAAAAGCUGAACCACCUUACCCACAUUUGUCUAUCAAACUUCAUAAAAGUAACAAAAAAGUGGAUCUGCUGAUCUCCUCUGCUUCAGUAUCAGACUCUGCACUGUACUACUGUGCUUUAUGGCCCACAGUGACAAGAAACCCAGCAAUGCUUUACAAAAACUGCGUGGGGAGUUAAAAGGCUUGUGGUGAUAUUAUCUGUAUUCUUAUCUGAGGCUUGAAAAUAAAACACAGACAUGCUGAAUUUCUAUUGUAUACACUGACACAUCUAGUGUGAAGGCUAUGGGAUGUCUCUAUCCACAUUAAAUGCAUUUACUCUAUUCCAUUUACAUUUCGUUAAGUAACAACUUAUUUUGUAUGUGUGAUGCUGGAUGGGUGUGAGUUGCAAGUGUGGAUAUGGAGUUUCUUUUUGUCUCCAUGAUAACAAAACAGAAAUGCACUGCAGCAAGCGUUCACAACAAAAAAGCAAUAU